rnacentral:tRNA from 1 species
GAGGGGUUAGUUAAAUAAAUAACAUCAGAAUGUCAAGCUGAAAUAAUCGAAUAGAUACCCCUCU